ncrna:unclassified sequences Transposase-1 RNA
UCAAAAGAGUCGGUCAAUGCGAUUACUCCCAAGUUGGAAUAUCGGAAAACUGAUGAAGA